rnacentral:rRNA from 1 species
CAGCAGCCACGGUAAUACGAAGGGUGCAAGCGUUACUCGGAAUUACUGGGCGUAAGGCGUGCGUAGGUGGUGGUUUAAGUCCGUUGUGAAAGCCCUGGGCUCAACCUGGGAAUUGCAGUGGAUACUGGGUCACUAGAGUGUGGUAGAGGAUAGCGGAAUUUCCGGUGUAGCAGUGAAAUGCGUAGAGAUCGGAAGGAACAUCUGUGGCGAAGGCGACCACCUGGGCUCAUACUGACACUGAGGUGCGAAAGCGUGGGGAGCAAACAGGAUUAGAUACCCCUGUAGUCCCUGUCUCUUAUAC